CCUACGGGGGGCUGCAGUGGGGAAUCUUCCGCAAUGGACGAAAGUCUGACGGAGCAACGCCGCGUGAGUGAAGAAGGUUUUCGGAUCGUAAAGCUCUUUCGUCAGGGACGAACGUAUUUCUUGUAAAUAAUGAGAGAUAGUGACGGUACCUGAAUAAGAAGCCACGGCUAACUACGUGCCAGCAGCCGCGGUAAUACGUAGGUGGCAAGCGUUGUCCGGAAUUAUUGGGCGUAAAGCGCGCGCAGGCGGGAUAUCAAGUCUGUCUUAAAAGUGCGAGGCUCAACCUCGUGAGGGGACAGAAACUGGUAUUCUUGAGUGUCGGAGAGGAAAGUGGAAUUCCAAGUGUAGCGGUGAAAUGCGUAGAGAUUUGGAAGAACACCAGUGGCGAAGGCGACUUUCUGGACGAUGUCUGACGCUGAGGCGCGAAAGCUAGGGGAGCGAACGGGAUUAGAUACCCCUGUAGUC
rnacentral:rRNA from 1 species